rnacentral:rRNA from 1 species
GUGGGAACGUACCUUUUGGUUCGGAACAACCCAGGGAAACUUGGGCUAAUACCGGAUAAGCCCUUACGGGGAAAGAUUUAUCGCCGAAAGAUCGGCCCGCGUCUGAUUAGCUAGUUGGUGAGGUAACGGCUCACCAAGGCGACGAUCAGUAGCUGGUCUGAGAGGAUGAUCAGCCACAUUGGGACUGAGACACGGCCCAAACUCCUACGGGAGACAGCAGUGGGGAAUAUUGGACAAUGGGCGCAAGCCUGAUCCAGCCAUGCCGCGUGAGUGAUGAAGGCCCUAGGGUUGUAAAGCUCUUUUGUGCGGGAAGAUAAUGACGGUACCGCAAGAAUAAGCCCCGGCUAACUUCGUGCCAGCAGCCGCGGUAAUACGAAGGGGGCUAGCGUUGCUCGGAAUCACUGGGCGUAAAGGGUGCGUAGGCGGGUCUUUAAGUCAGGGGUGAAAUCCUGGAGCUCAACUCCAGAACUGCCUUUGAUACUGAAGAUCUUGAGUUCGGGAGAGGUGAGUGGAACU